CGUGCCUUGGUGCAGAGAGUGCGAGCGGGUGACCACAGGGCUCGUGCCAGACCUCCAGUGGUGAUGCUUCUCGUGGCGGGCGCGGGCCCUUAGCAGCAGCACAGACAUGCCGUGAGCGCUCAUGAUUGGAGCGCCAACAGAACGGGGCUCACCCUC
rnacentral:RNase_MRP_RNA from 14 species